GUGAAACACAGCCUGGGAUUGCUCCAGCAGAAGGAGGAUGGUACUGAAGGCUGCAGAGACUGAGCCCGUUUAUACAAGCACCAAAGCUGCCGUGUGGGAUGAAAGCCUCUGUCUAGCUGGUCCAGCAUCCUGUCUCCAAGAGCAGCCAACGCCGGAUGCUGCAGAGGAAGAUCUCUGUAUUCCUGCCACGGCAUUUUCCAUUCCCAUUUCGGAAUCAUGACUCGGGGGGUCACAAAGUAACGAUUCACUGUUUGAUUUUUGGGGGGGAAGCCUGGCAGUUCUGGUGCAAAGGGUGGAAGAAAUGUUUGCCUGCAGGAGUCUGAUGGGUGACGCUGUGGGUUUUAACCCGGAUAAAAAUAGGAACUGGUUAGUUUCCAAAAGGGAAAAAUAAACUGCUAAGUUUCCACUGA